UACGUAGGGGGGCAAGCGUUGUCCGGAUUUAUUGGGCGUAAAGAGCGUGUAGGCGGCCAGAUAGGUCAGCUGUGAAAACUCGAGGCUCAACCUCGAGAUGUCGGCUGAAACCAUCUGGCUAGAGUCCGGAAGAGGAGAAUGGAAUUCCUGGUGUAGCGGUGAAAUGCGCAGAUAUCAGGAAGAACACCCGUGGCGAAGGCGGUUCUCUGGGACGGUACUGACGCUGGAGACGCGAAAGCGUGGGGAGCGAACAGG
rnacentral:rRNA from 1 species